UCCGGAGGAUGCAAGCGUUAUCCGGAAUGAUUGGGCGUAAAGCGUCCGCAGGUGGCUGUGUAAGUCUGCUGUUAAAGAGUCUAGCUCAACUAGAUACAAGCAGUGGAAACUACACGGCUAGAGUACGUUCGGGGCAGAGGGAAUUCCUGGUGUAGCGGUGAAAUGCGUAGAGAUCAGGAAGAACACCGGUGGCGAAGGCGCUCUGCUAGGCCGUAACUGACACUGAGGGACGAAAGCUAGGGGAGCGAAUGGG
rnacentral:rRNA from 1 species